GAAGACAGGUGUUUGCAAACCACGAUGAGAGCUGUCACCAGAACCCAACCAUGCUGGCAUCUGAUCUCAGACUUCCAAUCUCCAGAACUAGACACCACAAACAUUUGUGCAGAUUGCAUACUGGACAAGAAAACCCAGUUGAGGGGAUACGGUGGCAGAAAUCCAGUCUUGUACAAGUAACCAAGCCAUGUUUCAUGGUGUAGGAAGGCAUUCAGCCGGAGAAAGGAUGAGAGUCUACAUGGAGAAGAAGCCAAGCAGCUCUGCUGACAGCCAGCACCAAAGCCCUGGACACAUUAGGAAGACUAAUUUGGGCCUUCUCACCCAGUUCAUCAUAGCUGCAUGAAUAAGCUCAGAACUCAGGAUCCUGAUCAAACGGACCUCUAAGGAAGGCUGGGAAGCAGACUACAGCUAUACUCUCAGGAAAAAAAAAAUCAGUUUGGUCAAUUGCUAGCCAUCUUUACCAGG
rnacentral:lncRNA from 1 species